CGGUUUUCGAAAAGUGGCGGAAAUCGUUGUAGUUUGCUAGUUGAUGUCAGAUUUUAAAAACUGUAUCAUAGGAAUCAGGUAAAAGACACAAUGGAAGUAAAGACAGCUCUGGCUACUCGGAGCCACAAUUCCAGUCUACCCAGACCAUCAAAUACAACCAAACUUCCAUUGCCUGACAGUAAAGAAAAGGGGCCCUGAAGAGAUGCAGGAGCCCAGAUGAACGGUCCUUGACUGGAUCCAAUGAGAAUGUUAAGAGGAGUCGUGUUGAGAGCACUAGCACCAUUGGCAAGCCCCUGAAGACUUCCACUCCCCGCACACAAACCAGCUUUAAGGUACCCAGUGGAAACACAAAAGCACGCCGAG